rnacentral:rRNA from 1 species
AGUGAACGCUGGCGGCAGGCCUAACACAUGCAAGUCGAGCGGCAGCGGGUCCCCGCGAGGGAGUGCCGGCGAGCGGCGGACGGGUGAGGAACACAUCGGAAUCUGCCUGGUUGUGGGGAGUAGCGUAGGGAAACUUACGCUAAUACCGCAUGCGACCCUGAGUCGACGGACUUGGGGUGAAAGUGAGGGACCUUCGGGCCUCACGCGACCAGAUGAGCCGAUGUCGGANAGUCUAGUUGGCGGGGUAACGGCCCGCCAAGGCGACGAUCCGUAGCUGGUCUGAGAGGAUGAUCAGCCACACUGGGACUGAGACACGGCCC